rnacentral:rRNA from 1 species
CCUACGGGAGGCAGCAGUGGGGAAUAUUGGGCAAUGGACGCAAGCCUGACCCAGCAACGCCGCGUGAAUGAAGAAGGCCCUCGGGUUGUAAACUUCUUUUAUCGGGGACGAAUACAAUGACGGUACCUCACUAGUAAGCCACGGCUAACUACGUGCCAGCAGCCGCGGUAAUACGUAGGUGGCAAGCGUUAUCCGGAUUGACUGGGUGUAAAGGGCGUGUAGGCGGGAUAGUAAGUCAGCUGUGAAAUUCCAGGGCUCAACCCUGGAACUGCAUUUGAAACUGUUAGUCUUGAGUGAGGGAGAGGCAGGUGGAAUUCCGGGUGUAGCGGUGGAAUGCGUAGAUAUAAGGAGGAACAUCAGGGGCGAAGGCGGCUUGCUGGACAGUAACUGACGCUGAGGCGCGAAAGCGUGGGGAGCAAACAGGAUUAGAUACCCCUGUAGUC